GAUGAAGAACGCAGCGAAAUGCGAUACUUGGUGUGAAUUGCAGAAUCCCGUGAACCAUCGAGUCUUUGAACGCAAGUUGCGCCCGAAGCCAUUAGGCCGAGGGCACGCCUGCCUGGGCGUCACACGUCGUUGCCCCCCCCAUCUACUCCUUCGGGAUUGCGGGGGGCGGAUGAUGGCCUCCCGUGCGCCUCGCCGCGCGGUUGGCAUAAAUGCCAAGUCCUCGGCGACGCACGCCACGACAAUCGGUGGUUGCGAAACCUCGGUUGCCCGUCGUGUGCGGUCGUCGCGCAUCGAGGGCUCGAAAAAAUUGCCGGGUUUCGACUCGGCUUUCAACGCGACCCCAGGUCAGGCGGGGUUACCCGCUGAAUUUAAGCAUAUCAAUAAGCGGAGGA
rnacentral:misc_RNA from 1 species